CCCCUAAAGCUGAGGUUCUGCCCCCGCCAAUGAAUUCUGCGGGUUGACCUUGUAUGCCUGUAACUCUAGCAGAAUAAAAAGGAGAAAUUCAGCGCACAAGAAAAAGAGGACAACCCGGCUGAGUCAGCAGCAUGGAAAGCAAGUCCUGUGUGAAAAGGUUGAAGCACUGGAGAUAUGUAGGAUGGAGCAGACACAGCACAGGCACCUCAGCCCGCAUGCUCUCGGAUUUGGUGGAUGUCUUCAAGAAUUCAUCACCUUUCAUUUUCAUCUAUUCUGCUAAGAAUGAUGUGUUUGACAGCCAAAAACUGGCCGUGCAAUGCAAGCUGCCUUAGAGAGCGCAGUGCCAUGCAUCUCCCGGAUGUCAGUCGUACGUCUCUGCAAAUAGGAUGAAGUAAGAAAUGAGGAGGUGGUGUUGAACUUGGUGCCCUGAAAAUGAGGAAUCCUGGCUGGUGUGGGAGCUCCCGUGCCUAUGCAGACCAGACCCCAGCCAGAACCAUCGUGUGUAUUCACUCCCAGCCACACCUGCAUCACAUGCAGAAGGUCGUAGGUGCUGUUUCUCCUGG